GGGGCUGUCAUGGUUUCGACAGCAGUUGUGUUGGUGAAGUAAGCAUGCCGGAGGCUGUACGUACACUCCGUAAAAACUGCGCACAACUUUAUAAUAACAGGCAACGAUAAUUCGUAUGCAAUGGCUGCUUAAGCGGAAUGCUUAAGCCCCAUUUGUCUCCCCGGAAGCGCUGACCGGUCGCGUCCGGAUUGAGGCACCGAAAAUGCCGGAAUCGCAGAUUGAUAUGCCUUUGAUCGUCUGCUAAAUUUUAAAAGGAUAAGGUGCAAAUAGGGUCCGUUUUCCCCCGGUUUGUAUUCGAAAAUUAAACGAAAGCUAAGCAUGUAGAAGGCUUUUCUGGCCGCUGUUUGGACGAGGGUUCGAUUCCCUCCAGCUCCACAA
rnacentral:tmRNA from 1 species